rnacentral:piRNA from 1 species
UGGAACCAGAUUUGGCAGAGAUGAGCC